rnacentral:lncRNA from 1 species
GAAGAAAUAUGAUUUUCAAACUCUAUCAUCCUCAUUUCUAACAAAAAUCCUUUAAUACGUCAAGAGUUCUUCAAGUUCUUCAAUAGAAAGGAAAACUAAAUCUUCAACUAUAUCUAAGUUAAGCUAGAGAGAAAAGAAAAGAAGAGUCUCCUCCUUAGGUUCCUUCUCCCCUCAAUAAUAUGCUUUUCUUUCUUUUUAACUCGUCUCUUCACUUCUUGUUCCAAAAAUGCCCUCCAUUGGAAUCCCCAAUAUUCCUUCUUCAAGAGUACAAAGUGCCUUUUUCAACUUCCAGUCGAAAAUUGUUGUGAAACAAGAGUCAAAAAGUAAGUAUGAAAUGCACACAAGUUGGUCUGCAAAUUGCAGCAGAAAGAGAAAAAUCCGAGGCCGAUGAUCCGAGGGCUUCCAAACAGAUCCGAAUUCAGAUCAGUUUUUCCAUUUUCUUUCACUUUUCUUGUAGAAGUUGAUCCGAGACCUAUUCCCUAUGGAUCCGAGCUCGGAUCUUCUGCUCUCGGAUCAACUUCUCCAGCAUCAGAGAUGAGGGCUCGAAUGUGUGGCCUUUGGGAAUGGAUCCGAACUCGAAUCCUCCCCCCUGUUUGUAGCUUCAAUCCUUUUUCUUUUCCUGUGCAACUCACUAUCUUGUUUCAUGUACACGUUAAUCUCCGUGAGUUGCCUUGCAUCUGCUUCAACUAGAGAGUGUUCC